rnacentral:rRNA from 2 species
CGGGAUUUAGUAGACAGAAGCUUCGGUGGAAGAUUACUAAUGAGAGUGGCGAACGGGUGAGUAACGCGUGAGCAACCUGCCUAUGACAGUGGGAUAGCCUCGGGAAACCGGGAUUAAUACCGCAUAAAAUCGUAGAAACACAUGUUUUAACGGUCAAAGAUUUAUCGGUCAUAGAUGGGCUCGCGUCUGAUUAGCUAGUUGGUGAGAUAACAGCCCACCAAGGCGACGAUCAGUAGCCGGUCUGAGAGGAUGAACGGCCACAUUGGAACUGAGACACGGUCCAAACUCCUACGGGAGGCAGCAGUGGGGAAUAUUGCGCAAUGGGGGAAACCCUGAUGCAGCGACGCCGCGUGAACGAAGAAGGUAUUCGUAUCGUAAAGUUCUGUCCUAUGGGAAGAUAAUGACAGUACCAUAGAAGAAAGCUCCGGCUAAAUACGUGCCAGCAGCCGCGGUAAUACGUAUGGAGCGAGCGUUGUCCGGAAUUAUUGGGCGUAAAGGGUACGCAGGCGGUUUAAUAAGUCGAAUGUUAAAGGUCAGGGCUCAACCCCGUAAAGCAUUGGAAACUGAUAAACUUGAGUAGUGGAGAGGAAAGUGGAAUUCCUAGUGUAGUGGUGAAAUACGUAGAUAUUAGGAGGAAUACCAGUAGCGAAGGCGACUUUCUGGACACAAACUGACGCUGAGGUACGAAAGCGUGGGGAGCAAAC